GUUGUGUAGUUGUUACCAAAACUAUUUUUGUGGUUUUUUUUCCUCAAAAGGAAGGAGACACAGACUUGACUACCUGGCUGCAAAUGAGACCCAAUGACAUACUGUAUCAGGGCUGAUCAUGACAUGGAGCUAUUGGCAACAUUCGAGAAUAGCGAAACUGUAAAAGCCAUCUUUACUUCCUGGCGUUGUUCUACUGUACCUGCUCGACUUAGACUAUCCAUCCAGACUCAGCAGUCUGACAUGGUAAAGGCUUUUCAAGAAAUUGAACAAUAUUGCUACGUGUGAGAACUUUUACAUUUAUCUAUCAGUAAUUACUUUAAUAACCUAUUCAUGUAUAGCUGGUAAAUAUAUGAUUUUAAACAUUCUUAAUUGUUUUUAUAUUGUAGGAUGACAACAGCAAAAAAUCAUGCCAAGAUUAUUAUUCUAGUUUCAUAUUGUCAUUUAAGAAAAAUAUUCUAACUUAAAAGCCAUGCACACCGGAUCGAACUAGAAUAAUUUUCUUAGCAGGAUUUCAAUUCAAGAUAAUUUUUCUAAUUUUGU